ensembl:lncRNA
GUACCGACAUGUCAGUAUUUACUUAAUAUAAUCUAACUAAAUAGUUAAAUCUUUAAAUAUAUAGAAUUUUAUAGAUAUAAAACAGCGAACUAAACCAUUUCUGUACACAACCCCAUACUCCUGAGUUGGUACAGUCCAGCUUCGUGCCUCUAGCUUCGCGCCUCAAAUUUGGAUUGCAGGAUUAGUAAUAUUUUUGGGUCCGGGAUACAGUGGUACAGUGUGAAGAAAUUAAGGCAUGCUAUGGAGAAACUGGACGAAAUAACAAUUGCCACCCUGAAAGAAGCAAAUGUUGGAGAAGACCUGCUCUCAUCACUUUCACGAGAUGACAUCAAAGAUCUGUUUCCUGGUCCUGAACAUUUCCUCAGGCGUCGGGCUCUAUGGCUUGCAGUGCACAAAUGUGAAGAAAACAAGACUGCUGCUGAAAAAAUGCUAACAACUACUGGAGAUGGUGACUUCUCCAGAGAGGAACCCAGCACUUCUAAGUUUGUGACUAUGUCCAACCCAGAGUACAUAGUCUUCACAGACAGUGAACUUGAGCAAGCUCGACAUUCCUACUUUGAAAAGAAGCGGCUGGGGACAGAGUGUGCUGAACCUUUGUCAAAGGAACUCUUUUGUCGACUUGUAAGAAACACCAUGACAAACAUGAUUUCGAUAGCAAGAGCAGCUGAAGACUCCAGAUACCCCAGCAAACAUGAGGUUGAUGCCAUGGCAAAGCGAUUAAUGGAGUACUACCCAAUGCUUAAAGAAACGUGUGGUGAGUGGGAGCAUGUUGCUAAAAAGCUAAUGAAGAGACUCUCCAAUGUCAAAAGUCCAAGGAAGGGCAAAAAACCUCCUGCGAAGAAGCCAAGAAAGGAUGGGAAUGAAAGCGUUGCAAAAAGUGACAGCAGUGGGGAGUCCAGUGCAUCAACUAUUAUUCUAGAUAAAUCACCAGUUAGAUCGAUGGGCACCCCAGUGCACCACCAGGAUGGCAGUGAUGAAGAAUCUGGUUCAGCUGACUUCUUUGACAGCCAAAAAACCCAGGCAAGACACUACAAGACACUUCAAGAAAUAUACAAGACCAAAAAACCGAACAAAGCUGCUGUUACCCAACUGCUGAACCUGGAGUUUGAGUCUAGAAGACAAUUCAUUAACUCUGAUGCUAUAAAGGAGCAGGACAGAGCAGUGAAGAUACUAGAGGCAUAUCCUUGUUUCAGAGAACUGGACCAUGUCCUUGAUGAGCUGCGGAGAAUUAUUCAACCAUCCAACUUGAAAUACAUUUCUGAGAUGAAGGAUAGAUGGGAAAUCUUCUACUCGAAGGUGCAGUUUUAUGGUGUCAUGAAGAAAGUUAUGAAGCCGCCAAAAACUUUGGAUGGAGUGGAACAUGCAGCAGCUGUGUUCAGAGCCCUUCCCGUGCUUUUCCCUUCCAGCACAGUACCACCUAAGAAGCUGGGCAUCUGUAGUGAGGCUUUUUUCCAUGUCCUAAAGACUUCAGAAGACCCUGAAGGCUACCUGCGUCAGCGACCCCUGGCUUGUCCAGUUCUGCUUGUCUCUGAAGGCAACUGCAUGAUAGCUGUUGGAACCACACCAGUGAGCACUUUUGACCGGAAGGAUCUUAAUGAGGGACUGCUC